CUGAUAGGUAGGUCUCCUACCAUCACGCCUAUACGCUGAUUAACCUGAUUUGCAACAGGAGCUGAACGGAACUUCUCUCCAUCAACAUGGGAUUUGAUAAUGAGUGCAUUCUGAACAUUCAGUCUCUUGCUGGUGAAUACUUCUGUCCUGUUUGUCGUUUGCUUGUCUACCCAAAUGAAGCCAUACAAUCACAGUGUACUCAUUUAUACUGCAAGCCUUGCUUAACAUAUGUUAUAAGCACUACGCGUGCCUGCCCUUAUGAUGGCUACCUGGUGACUGAAGCAGAUUCAAAGCCUCUCGUGGAAUCAAAUAAAGCUCUUGCUGAAACCAUCGAUAAAAUUUCUGUUCACUGUCUCUAUCACAGGAGUGGAUGCACAUGGCAGGGUACAUUAUCAGAAUGCACAUCGCAUUGUGCUGGAUGUUCCUUUGGCAAUUCCCCGGUUGUAUGCAACAGGUGUGGUACUCAAAUUGUACAUCGGCAAGUACAAGAACAUGCACAGAACUGCUCGGGUGUGCAGCCUCAAGCACAGCAAACUGAGGUUGCCCAGGAUGCAACCUCUACAUCAGGUGCUGCAACUGCAACCGAACAAAACCAAGCGGGUGCUCCAGCAGGGGCACCGGCAUCUCAAGCCUUUUCUGGCCAGUCAUCUCAGACCAAUGUGGUACCUGUGUCUGGACAAGAUCAAAAUCAAGCCAGUGCCAGUGUUCAGCCCCAAGCUGUAGCUCAGGCUAUGCCAACUCCAGAGCAGUGGUAUCAGCAGCAGCAACAGGUAUACCAACAAUACUAUCAACAAUACCCUGGAUACGAUAUCCAUCAACAACAAUAUCAGCAUUAUGAUCCGUACCAACAACAAGCCCAUCAGCAAUAUCAGCAGCAACACCUACAGGCUCGUCCCCCACAUGUACCAGGACAGCACCCACCCCAGGUGUAUAUGCAACCACAGGCCCAACCUCAGUCCCAGCUACAAGCAUAUGCCCAGCCAGCGGUGCAACCGCAGGCACAGCUUCAACACCAACCGCAGCCACAUGCUCAGUCUCAACCUCAUGCACAGCCCCAGGCUCCUGUGGCUGUGCAACCUCAAACGCAAGGACAGGUCAACUCUCAGCAGCAACUUCAACAAGUGGCACAACCACCUUUCCAGGGGCACCAACAUCCUCAGCCAUUUUCACCGGCUCAGCCUCAUCAACAGCAGCAUCCAGCCCAUCCUCAUCCUCAACCUCAAAUUCAUCCACAUUCCCAACAUCAUGCCCACCCUCAACCUCAGCCCCCUAUGCCGCCUCAAUCCCAGCCCCAGCCCCAGCCCCAGCCUCAGCCUCAGCCUCAGCCUCAGCCUCAGCCUCAGCCUCAAUCCCAGCCACAGGUGCAGACCCAGCCCCAUCCACAGCCUCAGCCACAACAUCCAUUAGCUCAUGCAGUUACAGGCCACCAAUCCUAUCUACAACCUCCUCACAGUCACCAACAAUUGUUGCCAGGUGUCCCACAACAUCCUGCUUAUGUGCACCCUCAGCAGCAAGGUUUGCCGCACCAACCACAACAUUCUGUUCAAAUGCAGAGUCAGUUCCCUCAUCAGCAACCACAGCAAAUGCGUCCACCCCAAUCUCAUGGUCCAGUGCAACAGCAGCAAAAGCCACCCAUGCUGCCUCAGCAGGGUCAACAUCUAAAUAUUCCUCCUAUGCAACAGCCUCAUGCUGGUCAACCAUUAGACCAGCUCCCUGGUAUACAUCCACCCCAACAACAGCCUUUUGUGCUUCAGCAACAGGUGCAAGAGUUUCACCAGCAGGCAUCUGGGCAUUUGCAUCCUUCCCAUCCUUUCCCUGGGCAAACGCCUGGUUCGGUUCAAAAUCAGGCCCAUCAACAAGGUCUCUUCACGCAGAAGCAGCAGCAACUGCCACCACCACCGCCACCGCCACCGCCACCGCCGCAGCCCGCGCAGUCUCAGUUACGCCCUUUAGGCCCACCAUCUUUGCAGCAACAUGCUUAUGGCAAUCCUCAGUUGCAGCAGAACAUUCCACUGGGACAUGGCUUACAACCCAAGCCAUUGCAAAAUCUUGCUGCAAGGCCUAUGAUGCCAAAUCAUGGGGUGCCACAACAACCAUUUCCACAGUCUCCUGGAGGACCUGCAGGGAUGGGUUAUGGUAAGCCAAUGCAGUCUGGUCCAAAUCAGCCGUCUCAAAAUCAAAAUUAUCCAUCAAGUGCAGGCAUCCGUCCACAUUCAUCUUUGGAACAACAUCUUGGUUACAUUCAUCAGCCCGCACUUUCACAAUCUGGCGGCCAGAAUGCCUUGUUUCCUGCUCUGCCCACAACAGAGUCUGGGACAAAUGUCUCAGCAGCUUAUGCACAAGCUGCAUCAAAGCCAACAUCUUUUGAGAAGCCGGGUGAUUCCAAGCGUGAGAAAAGUGCAAAUGGGAUUGAAAAUGAUACAGCUUCUCUCAAGACCAGUGGAAAUGAGGGAAAUAGUUCAAUUAUCGCAUCUUCUCACGAUCCUGAUUCAUUAGAGCUUAAGGCUCCCAAGUCUGUGAUUGAUGAAGAAAAGCACGUCAAUCAAGAUGAAAGUAAGAACAGCCAGUCUGAUCUGGCUGUUAAGGAGAUUCUAGGCUCUUCCCAGGCACUGGGAAAACACCUCAGAUCGAAGGUGCCGGAAAAUGCAUCCGAGGAACUGGUGAUUAAGCGGAUAGUGAAGGAAGAAGCUAGUGAGAAGUUGUCAGAGCCAUCUCCAGGUGGGGCUAAGAGCCAUGAAGAUGUUCAUAGUGGUUCCGAGGAGAAUGCCCUGCUGGAAACCAUGGAAAUUCAGGAUGCCCCUCAAAUGGAGAUGACUGAAGGUCAGGAUAUGAGCAAGCCAGUGAAUGCAGGAGUUGCACAGUCUUUUCCUGCAGGUGAAAGAGACAACUUGCAGAUUCUUCCUCUCCAUGGCUAUCGGGAUAGAAAUGUGGCCCAAUCUCAUUUUCCUCGACCUGGUCUUAGCCAACAACCUAUGCAUUAUGGAGCUCCUCCUCCUCACCAGCAAAGACCUCCUGCUCCUGAUCAGAUGUUACAAUCAUCAAUGCCUCCACCUCAAAUGCAUGUACCAGGGCAGCCUCUGGUCCAAAUGAGGCCUCAAGGGUAUAAUUCCCAUUUACAUUUACCGCAGCAAGGUCAGUCAUCUAUUCCACCUGAACAUUUCCAGCAACCAAUGGUGAAGCAGCCUCAAGGUACUUUUCAUGCUGAAAUUGUCCCUGGUGUGGUUCAAGGCCCAGGCUCCUUGGCGUCAUUUGGGAGGGGUCCAGCUCAUCUGGCUCCCCAGAAAGGUCUUGUUGAACCACAAUCUAUGGUGCCCCGAGGGUAUCAAAAUCAAGGUAUUGUUCCCCCUCCCUAUGCUGGAGAUCCCAGAAUUUCUCAAGGUGAGUCUAUUAGAGGACCCCCGUUGGGUGGGCCACCACCUGGGCCAUUUGAGUCGCAUGGAUCAAUGAUGGUGAGAGGACCUCCACAUGGUAUUGUAGGUCAGAUGGGACAGCCACGUCCUACUAAUCCUAUGGAAACUGAAAUGCUUGUGAAUAAGAAGCCUGGUUAUAUUGAAGGUGGACAACCUGAUUCAAAUCUGUCGGUACUUCCAGUACGCAUUCCAUUUGGGCAGGAUUCUAUGCAUUCUAAUAAGAUGAAAAUGAAUGGGGUCCUGGGAAAGGGUGUGACUGCUGGGGGACAGGACCAAUUGUUUCCACAUGGUUUGCAGGACGAAAGAGUUAAGUCGUUGCCAGAUGAGAGAUAUAGACGAUUUCCACAGGAAGGCUUCAGCCAGCUAUCGGUGGAGUGCUUCGAGCAGAUCCCGAUGGAACCGGGUAGGCACAUGUUUGGUCAAAGAGAGUUUGAGGAAGAUCUGAAGCAGUUCCCAAGGCCAGCUCAUCUAGAUGAGUCUGGUCCUACGUUUAAAAGUUACUUCUCGUCAAGGCAUAAAGGCUUUGGCAUGGAUGCAGCACCGAGACACCUCGAUAGGGCACCUGCUUUUGGUCGUAAUGCUGGAUCCAAAUUGGAUGUUGGUGCCAGUGCUGCUAGUUCAGGAUUGUUGCCUCCUUAUCAACCUGGUGGUUUGUCAGGACAUCCUUUGGAUUCGGGAGAAAGAGCUAGGUCAGCUGGCUUUCAUGAUGAUAAGAUUGGAAGAAAGGUUGAUCCGGCUGGAGCUCACUCAGAGUUCCUUGGACCUAUCUCUGAAUUUGGUGGGCAUCAUGUGGAUUGUAUGGGACCUCCAAGAAGUCCUGGUAGAGAAUACCAUAGCAGAUUUGGGAGCAUUUCUGCUGGUUUUCCAUUGGGUACUCAGUCACGCCUGGAAGAUAUGGAUGACCGAGAGUCACGUUUUUUUGGUGAACGAUCCAAGCCUUUCAAUCUUCCUUCAGAUUCAGUUGGCAGUGCAUUUCAUGAUAGUAAGUUUCCUAUGUUGCCUGGCCAUAUGCGAAGAGGUGAUUCUGAUGGUCCUGGGAACCUGCAAAUAGGUGAGCACAUGGGAUCUGGUGCUUUGCCUGUCCAUCUGAGGAGUAAUGAUUUGGUUGGUUCAGACAUUCUACCCAGUCAUUUGCGGUACAAUGGACCUUUUGGACCUGGUAGUUUAAGUCAUUUAAGAGGAGGUGAACCGUUGGGUCCACGGAACUUGCCUGGUCAUACCAGGAUGGGUGAGCCAGCUGGUUUUAGUGCUUUCCCCAGCCAUUUACGUAUCGGUGAGUUGUCUGGGCCUGGGAAUUUGCCUUCUCAUCUGCGAAUUGUAGAAUCAAUGAGGGGACACCUCAGUGAACCUGGAGUUGGGGGCAGCUAUCCUAUUUCAGGAUUUCCAAAUGAUGGUGGAUUUUUUCCUGGUGACAUGGAAUCCUUUAAUCACACAAGAAAGAGGAAGCCAGGAAGCAUGGGAUGGUGCCGUAUAUGUAAAAUUGAUUGUGAAACCGUUGAAGGUCUGGACCUGCAUUCCCAAAGGAGAGAGCACCAGAAGAUGGCAAUGGAUAUGGUCCUGAGCAUCAAGAAGGACAAUGUCAAGAAACAGAAAUUAGCUUCGGAUGACCAUACUGUUGAAGAUGCAAGCAAGUCCAGGAAGGCCAAUUUUGAGAGUCGUGGUAAUAGACAUUAAGGCAAUGCUACUUCAACUUUGAUCAAACUGCCAAUUCUGGAUGGAACUUGAUUGUUUGCUGCCUGGAAGUCAUUUUUUUUUCCCUUCAGUAAUUUUGCAUCAGAGACAUGUCGCUGCCGUGUUUAAUGGAGAUGGUUCCUUGGAACUGAAGUUUCUGUGGCAAGUUAAGUUUGUUUGCAAUUGUGGCUUCUUUAGCUUGCAA